UGUGUGUAGGUCCGCACCCAGGAUCCAAACCUGCGAACUCUGGGCUGCCCAAGCAGAGUGCACAAACUUAACCACUACGCCACUGGGCUGGCCCCCUUCAUUCUUGAAUAUGCACUUUCCAUGAGACACAGGACUUUUUGGGCCCUUCUGACGUUGUUAAUAGUGAGUCCAUGUUGACUCAUUCCAAGAUUGGAAUAUCAUGCCUGUCAAAAAGGAGCCAGCAGACCCAAAGUGGAGUCACUUGUGCUAAACCCCAUAUCAGCAAAUCAAGACUCAAUACCUGACCUAAUUACAGUUUGAAGCUCUCUUGGAGUGUAACCUUUGACCAGUCAACUUGGAAUGACCUGGUCAGCACUAGUGAGAUUUAGUGGCAGUGGCAGGACCAGAGGAAACUUUUGAUGGCUUUGGGGAUGAGGGAGACAGGUGUGGUACCAAGGAACCCUGUUGAGUUCUCCGCCUUUCUUGCCAUUUUCAGGGAGAUGGGUAAGUUCCUCUCACUUCUGAGCCCUCCUCUCUUUGCAUUGAGCUCCUGAUCUAAUUGGCUUUCCACGGUUCUGCAUUUGACUGGAAUCCCUCCCCCAAUUCUCCCUCACUCUCCCCAUAUUCCACAUGGGGAACUACUGGUGGUUAUCUGACUAGGUCUGGAGUUAGGCUGGGUCUUAUUUGAGCUGGACUGGGUCCAGUGUGAGGCAUCAGGUGAAUAAAAUUUUGUUUUAAGUAAAAGAUAGUGACUAAUGGGAAUCAGAAUU